rnacentral:rRNA from 1 species
GACGAACGCUGGCGGCGUGCUUAACACAUGCAAGUCGAACGGAAAGGCCUGCUUUCCCUUGUGGAUUGCGGGUGCUCGAGUGGCGAACGGGUGAGUAACACGUGAGUGAUCUGCCCCCAACUUGGGUAUAAGCCCGGGAAACUGGGUCUAAUUCCCGAUAGGACUGCAGGGUGGUGCCGGUGGUGGAAAACGAUUGUAUGGUGGUUGGGGAUGAGCUCGCGGCCUAUCAGCUGGUUGGUGGGGUAGUGGCGUACCAAUGCGGCGACGGGCAGCCGGCCUGAGAGUGUGUACCUUCACAGUGGGACUGAGCUACGGCCCUGACUCCGACGGGCGGCAGCAGUGGGGAAUAGUGCACAAUGUGCGGAAGCCUGAUGCAGCGACGCCGCGUGGGGGAUGACGUGCUUCGGGUUGUAAGCUCCUUUCGACCGCGAGGAAGCCACCUGGCUGGAAGGGUGGUGACGGUAGUGGUAGAAGAAGCACCGGCUAACUACGUG